rnacentral:rRNA from 1 species
UACAGAGGGUGCGAGCGUUAAUCGGAAUUACUGGGCGUAAAGCGUGCGUAGACGGUUAUUUAAGUCGGGUGUGAAAGCCCCGGGCUCAACCUGGGAAUUGCAUUCGAGACUGAAUAGCUAGGGUACGGUAGAGGGAAGCGGAAUUUCCGGUGUAGCGGUGAAAUGCGUAGAUAUCGGAAGGAACAUCAGUGGCGAAAGCGGCUUCCUGGACCAGUACCGACGUUCAGGCACGAAAGCCGUGGGGAG